AUGAAAGUGGUAAUGGAAUUAGUUUCGAUGCUUCCCCGCAUGUUAGACCAACAUAUAAUGGUGAUGUUCAGAGUAAACAUUAUCCUUGUAGAAAAGAUACCUUGCAGUAUCAGGAAGUGAUGCGUCGUCUGGUUAGUAGAUGUAUUCAUCAAUAUAAAAAAGAAGGGAGACAAGAUGGCGUCAAUGAGGAUGAUUUGUUGGAAAUAAAACAAGAUAUAUCCAGUCUACGGUACGAAUUACGUGAGGAUAGGAAAAAGGAAGCAUUGAAUUUACAGUCGGCCAUUAAUUUUGAUGGAGUACGUAAAGACAUGUUGCACAUGUUACACUCCGCCUCACCAAACGCAAGUCCACAUAUUCCUCACAGUCGUUCCAGUCCCAACAAUAUGGCCUCUUUCAGCGCAGGUCUGUCACAGCAAGAUGUGGAUUAUCUCAAAUAUGACAUAGUAAAAUCUCUUAAAGCAGAAAUGCGUGAAACUAUUUAUGGAUGUUUUUCAAAUUUAGCCAAUCAGCAAGCAGUAGCUACGUUAACUCCACCAGUGGAUGCAGAUUUAUAUCAGACUCAUUUGUACACUCAACUUUGACCUCUGUGUUUUGUUGGCGUUGGUUUUAUGUAGAAUUUUUACUGCUGUCAGACCGAGUCCACUUGUUCGCGUCUGUUGUUUGUCAGGGUUUAGAGAAGGUUUGACGGAUGUUUGAAGCCAUUUCAUUGGUCGGUGUGACAGUUAAUUAGUAACAUUGUAAGGUCAUAGUAGUAGGUUUGUGCGAUGUGCCUGGCAGCACAUUGGUCUGGGAUAUCUUCAAGGUCAGUUGUGUGGAUUUCGUCAAUUUAGAUAUGUAAUGGCUGUAGAUGACGUGAGAUUUAAAGGUCACUCACUACUAGAUAUGAUGUGGUUGUUAUGAGUUUAAGAUUUGAAGGUCAUCGCUAAGGAAUAUCUUGCAUUGAAAGGUUAUGUGAUGAAAUGUUGAAAACUUGUUUUGAAGGUUUUUUAAUUACAUUUUGUUCUAUGAUGGUUUUUAAGGGAGCUUCAUGUUAAUGGAUCUUUGAUCUUGUUAUAGUUCCAGUGUAAUGGAGUCAGGGAUCUUUGAUCUUGUUACAGUCCCUAUGUAUUUUAAAGAAUGCUCCAGAUAGUACAUGUGUAUUUUAAAGAACGCUCCAGCAGAGCUUGUUAUAGUACCUGUGUAUUUUAAAGAAUACUCCAGCAGAGCUUGUUAUAGUACAUGUGUAUUUUAAAGUACCUCCAGAGCUUGAUACACCGUACACAUGUAUUUUGUAGGGAGUAUCAUGUUACUCUGUAAAUUGUUAUAACAAAAAGGGAAUUUUCUAUGUGAAUGGCGAGACAGUUAUUAUUUAGCAUGACAUAUAGUUUAAAGAAAGGGUCCAGAAAUGGCAGUAGUUUUAGUAUUGUACCAUAAUUUA